GACUGCGUAGCUCAGUUGGAAGAGCAUUGGGCUAGUAUUCCAAAGGUCGUAGGUUCGAAUCCCACCGUGGCCA
rnacentral:tRNA from 1 species